rnacentral:rRNA from 1 species
UACAGAGGUCUCAAGCGUUGUUCGGAUUCAUUGGGCGUAAAGGGUGCGUAGGUGGCGCCGUAAGUCAGGUGUGAAAUUUCGGAGCUUAACUCCGAAACUGCAUUUGAUACUGCGGUGCUUGAGGACUGGAGAGGAGACUGGAAUUUACGGUGUAGCAGUGAAAUGCGUAGAGAUCGUAAGGAAGACCAGAGGCGAAGGCGGGUCUCUGGACAGUUCCUGACACUGAGGCACGAAGGCCAGGGGAGCAAACGGG